CCCCUGGCGGGCAGGGGCCGAGGUGCAGCCUGCUGGGCUGCUCGGGCCUCGCUCCCUCAGGGACUUGCGGUGGCACUUUCUGACAUCCCGCCGUGAGGGACAGAGACCACAAUACCCAGCCCCUGAGCAGAAGCUCGUGUCCCACACAGAGCCGUCAGUGCCUGGACGACACGGGGGAGACGACCGCUCAGGACGGUGUAGACGGGACGCUGGGCUCCGCCAUGGGUCUUCACUCCGGAGCAGACGGCAUCUCGUCGGUCGCACAGAGUCACGAUCGUGGUGGCAGAAGUCGUGAGGAACCGUCCCGAGACCUCUCGGUUCCCCGUCCCCUCAUCUUCAUCCCUGCCUGUCACUCGGGGGAUGGAGCCAGCGCAGAGCAGCAAAGACAAGGAAAGGAAAGGCAGAGCAGCCGCUUGUCCCGAGUGCCGAGGACCUGCUGACGAGGCUUGCCGGCCAGGAGCCACCGCCAGGCCAGCCGCCAGCGUGCAGCUCUGCCGCCGCGGUCCCAGCACUCGGCAGCCUUCUAUGAACCCGCGUGCACAUGGCUGUCUGCUGGACCGGCCUCCCUUGUAGGCCACUGCCCGCUGACCGUCCCCUCCUCGCGUCCCGCCCCUCCCCCUGCCUGGAACCACAGGUAGAAGGCUCGCCUGGAGGGACAGCCCUAAGCAUUUGGGCACACACCCUGGAGCCUUGACUCUCCUCUGACCUUGCCCGCGACGCCAGGAGGUCCUGUCACACCUGAUGCCUCCCUGGAGCCUGCCUUCCCCGGCCACAGCCUCGUCCUGCGACCUCACCUCCGAGAUCCAGCCAGCCCCAUCCCUCUCGCUCCUCACCAACCGCCCCGCAGCCUCCGCCUCCACCAUCCACACAGAGGCGGGGCUUCCUGUGGCUCCCCCAUGUGGGGCCUGCCCCCUCCCGCCCGCGGGGCAUCCCUGCCUCAGGGCCUCUGCACCUGCUCCUGGCCCUGGAAGGGCCCCUCCGCUCCCUGACUGACCCUCACGCUCCUCCCCUCUCAGUGCAGCCAGGCCAUCUGGCCACAGCUCCCCGGACACUCGCAUGGAGUCCUAGUUGACACCGUCUCCUGGAGAGUGGAU
rnacentral:lncRNA from 1 species